rnacentral:rRNA from 1 species
UCCAGACUCCUACGGGAGGCAGCAGUGGGGAAUAUUGCACAAUGGGGGAAACCCUGAUGCAGCGACGCCGCGUGAGUGAAGAAGUAUUUCGGUAUGUAAAGCUCUAUCAGCAGGGAAGAAAAUGACGGUACCUGACUAAGAAGCCCCGGCUAACUACGUGCCAGCAGCCGCGGUAAUACGUAGGGGGCAAGCGUUAUCCGGAUUUACUGGGUGUAAAGGGAGCGUAGACGGACUUGCAAGUCUGAUGUGAAAAUCCGGGGCCCAACCCCGGAACUGCAUUGGAAACUGUAUAUCUAGAGUGUCGGAGAGGCAAGUGGAAUUCCUGGUGUAGCGGUGAAAUGCGUAGAUAUCACGCAGAACCCCGAUUGCGAAGGCAGCCUUCCGGCGCCCUACUGACGCUGAGGCACGAAAGUGCGGGGAUCGAACAGGAUUAGAUACCCGCGUA